rnacentral:rRNA from 1 species
UACGAAGGACCCAAGCGUUAUCCGGAUUUAUUGGGUUUAAAGGGUGCGUAGGCGGCUUAUUAAGUCAGUGGUGAAAUCCUGAAGCUCAACUUCAGAAUUGCCAUUGAUACUGAUGAGCUUGAGUAUAGUUGAGGUGGGCGGAAUGUGUCAUGUAGCGGUGAAAUGCUUAGAUAUGACACAGAACACCGAUUGCGAAGGCAGCUCACUAAGCUAUAACUGACGCUGAUGCACGAAAGCGUGGGGAGCAAACAGG